rnacentral:lncRNA from 1 species
UAAAAAUGGCUGCGCCCAUGAACGUAAACAUUAUCUCAAAGUCAAAGCUUACACUUUAAAUAUAUGCAUAUAUUUAAUAAGAGAAAAUGGGGACUGAAAGUAGCAAAGAUGCCAAAAUUCCAAAGAGCCACAAGGCCUAGGAUCUCUUCGAACAACCUCUUUCUUCAGAGUGGUUAAUUUUGAACUGUUUGCCAAGCAGGUGAUUGAUAUAAUUUAUCAUGUUUGUCACUUUAUAUGUGUCUCAAUAAGAUAGGAAGGGACAAACACUAGAGUUUUACCAUAUAUAAUAAUACAACUGGCGCAUGCGGCACUAACUGAGGGUUAUAAUGGGGUACUUCAUGCAGGGACUUUCUUUACUAAUAUGUUAUAUCCCCGAGGAACCAGUAAUGACGCACCUAACGUUGUGUUUGUCUCUGCAUUUAAUCUACCAUUUAAAAAGAAAAAAGAAACAUCGAAUAGAAUGAAAGGAUUGAUCACUUGUUAAUGUAUUUCAAUCAUUAAACAGUUGAUUUUUGAAACAGUAAAAGCAAUAAAAAUCAUGUUUGCUAACAUUACAAACGGACUGUCAACUUAUGAUGGGUACCAGUAAUGACGCACUAUAAACAAACCAGUAAAAACCACUUGCAGUGUACCUGAGUUUCGAAAAAUUGCUUCAAUCCGGAUAAUUUAAAGUUAACACUAUUCAACAAAUUUAAUUUUAAUAACAAAUUUUGACAUUUACAGUCACUUUUAUGAUCAUGUUGAUAGCAACACAAUUUUUUUCAUUAAUUUAAUUGUAACCUAUAUUUUAUUUCAAAUUUUAUAUAAAAUUGUUCAAAAUUUAUCAAAGUGACAUAUAUAUUCCAUAUACUUGAAAAUAAGAAGUAAUUGCAUUCAUAAAACAACAUUGACAUUAAAACAUUUAUCAAUGUAUACUUCGUACAAUGAAUGAAAAAAAUCGAUAAACAAUAGAAAAUUAUAUAAGCGACGAUCAUUUGUUCUACAGUGAUUCCCGCUUAAAUGUAAAACCAUGUCACAUGACAGUCAUAUGAUUUGAAAAACACAAACUGGGGCAGCAUGUGCAUACAUACUUUUGCCGGCCAAAGUGGAUUUAGGACUGAUAAUCAUUCUGGGAAGGGUCGACUGUUUUUUGACCUUAAUAAAAUGGCGGAAAUUGCAUUAUCUUUACUAAUUCAAGCAAUAAUAACAUUUCUGGACAGAGUUUGAGGCAUCUAUGUUGUAGUCAUAUGACCUUCACCAUCAUGUUAUGAAUAGUAAUUAUCGAUGACGUCACAGCUUUUGUUUAGAAAUAUAAAACCCAAAACUAAAUUGGUGCGUCAUUUCUGGUCCGCGUCAAAACAGGUACCAAGACGAUAGAUCAUUUUUGUUUACAAGUACAAAACCUCGUCUUUCUGUUCUUGAAGAUUUUCUACAUGUUCUGGUGACCAGCUGAAAUUAGAACCAUACUCCCUGCCACCUUCCGCCAUUGAAAAAAUUGUUUAUUGCAUCUUUUUGGAAAUUAUAUUGGGGAGAAGAAAAUUGUGCAAGUUUGUUAUUGCAACACCACAGAUAUAUCUAAAACCCAGAAGAGGAGUCUUGGUAGGAAAGGAAAAUACCCAAUAUACAAAUAAUGAAUGGAAGUGAAUAUAGAGAAAUUCCCAACAAAUGGCAAUGACAAUGAAAGAAUAACAAUAAGAAGAAAGUGUACAAUCAAAUCUGAAGAACUUUACUAUAUUUAUUUGGCAGGAAAGAAGACAAAAAAAUAAAUUAGUCAUUGUCAUGAAAUAUUGUCUCCUCAGUGGACAGAAUUUUACAGCAACUGUUAAAUAUGGUCCAUCUACAGAACAGUGAGAAGACAUUUUCGUAGUACUGUAAAUGUUAUUAAAUUGUUUCCUCUAAGGAAAAUAAUACUGAACAGCAUCUGUUACUUUUUUGAGUUAAUAUAUGUACAUGUAGAUAUAAAAUGAAGAUAAGAUGGUAUUGAGUGACAUGAGAAAUUCUAUGUCAAAGUAAUAAUAAUUAAGUCCGCAAUAAAGUAAAAUGCGUCCAGUUAAUAAUAAGGGCAAUGGAUAUCAUUUAAUACUUUAAUUAUAUCAAAAAAUCCAGAGGCGGAUUUAGGGGGGGGGGCCCGGGCCCCCCUUUUUUGGGAAAAAAUUUGGUUGCUUAUAUAGGAAAUCACUGAAGCGUGACUGGAGGGGCCCCUCUUAGGUCAGUAGUGGGCCCCACUUAUGAAAAUUUCUGGAUCCGCCACUGAAAUCACUUGGCGGACACAAUGUCCUGUGAAAAAAUGUCCCUGAACAAUAUUCAUGAUAUUAUGGUAGUGAAUAAUGUCCAUGUUCAUGGACACUUUUUCAUACAUGAGGACAUAUUUUCAUAGAAAAUUAUGUCCAGGACAUAUUUAAAUAAGUAAAAAUUGUCCAUGGACAGUAUUAACUAUGAAAAUGUGUCCGGUGGACAUUUUUUCAUUGGGGACAUUAUUAAAUCCUACACUUCAUGAUGAAUAAUGGUAAAAAUUCUUGCCAAAUGACGUUAACAAUAAUUUUUUAAAAUCUAUGACGAAUCAAGAUUAGGAGAGUUUGACAAAACACAGUGAAAUUUUAACCAAUUUGACGUUUUUUAGGUCACGACCAUCUCCGCUUUGGACGCUUUUUGUAUCCUUAAAGUUAAAGCAAAAAAUCCCUACCUGAUAAGAUUUUUAGGUCACAACCAUCUCAGCUUCAGAGCUUUUUGUACCCUUUAAGUAAAUGCCAAAAAAAUCUAUAUAAGAAUAAAACCAAUUACAGGGCAUACAAGGGUUGUCUGUAAAGUUUGAGGACAAUCUCAAUAAAAUAUUACUAACCGGUCCGAAAUAAAUAAAUCAAGUACAUAACUAAUUUCAUAAUUUACUUAUAAUUAAGUGUACAAAAUUUAUUUCAGUACCUGCUUAAAUAAUCGUAUUUUCAUCAAUUAAAAAUCAUAAGAAACUCUCACCCGGAACACCCAAACAAAUAUUUCCAACGCUCUGACGUUCGACGACGUCAACAUCUUAACUUUUCUCAACGUAGUCUCCUUUCAAAGCAACACAUUUUUUACCAGUUAUCAAAUAAUUUUCAAACUGUUCUGCUUUAAUUUUAAAAAUUAUUUUCAUUACUUCCUGUACAAGUUUAGGUAAAUAACUGAACCUUUAUCCACGGAGAAAAGAUUUGAUAUGUGGGAAUAUCGCAAAAUCCAUUGCUGCUUUUAAGUCAUACAAAUAUUUCAGACAUUCGAAUCCACGUAAAUCAAUUUCUAGAUGAGUUUUUAAAGAAGUGUGGGCCGGAUUUGUCUUGGCAACUGUUGUUUAGUUUCUGGAUCGUAGUAAUGAAACGAGCUUUUGUCGGUUGUAAUUAUUCUGUCUAGAAAUCAUAUGCCACCACGAGAAACUUUUUUAAUAAAUUGAUUUGACAAUUCCAUUCUUUUUGUUAAAUGUUCUGCUGUAAGAAGUCGCUAUACCCAUCUAGCAAUUUAAACAUUAUUACAUGAUUCAUAUUUUUAAAUCAUUUGCUUUAAUGUGGUGUGCUGAAGUCUUAGAAAUGUCACAUUUGUCUGCAACUUUGAGAACUGUUAGUCACCAUUCACUGUUGAUAACGUUCAGAACACUUCAUCUUUUAUCGCAUCUGAUUCCAUGAAAGAUGGCCUACCUUUCCGCUCAUUGCUUUCAAAUUGUCUCUUCCGUACCCAUACCUUUUGUGCCACUUGAAUACCAAUAAACGACUUACUUUGCCAUGUUUCUCAGACUGUUUUGAGAAUUUGUGUGUUUCUGAUGGCGUUUUUCCAAUGUCUACACAAAACUUUAUAACCGCCCACUGCUCCACCUUUUCCGCAAAUUUCCCUUUUUUUCAGUGAUGCUGAUUCUGGAUUCAAUGCUUCAAAUCAAGAUUUCUCCGCCAUUUCCAAAUUUUGACCGUUCAAAUUUAGCAGGUUUAACAACAUGUGACUGUUGUUGGUCGACGUUACAAUGUAAGUUUCAUGUUUUUUAUGGCUGAUUUUGAUAUUUAAAAUAUCAAAAAUAUGCAAACGGCGGCCUGCAUGUCAUGUGAUAUUUUCUCCAUGCUCUGAUUUCCUAUUGCUUAUAUUUAUAUGAAGAAAGUGUUAUUAUUUCGCAUUUAAAAUUGAACAAAUAUUGACAUAACCUAACUAUGAUAUAGUUCAGGAUUACAAAUCAACAAAAAGAAUUUACCUGAAAAGCUAUUUUUGGGCAGACUUCAGCUUGUCCACGAACUUUAUGGACAACCCUCUUAUAUAUAUAAAUCAAGCACAAUGACUGCAGUUAUUAAGUCAACAAUAAGACUUUACAAUACAUGUAAAAAAUAUAUCAUUAUAUCAAAAUAAGCCUCAGUCAAAAUCAGAGCCAAAACAUAAUUAAAAUUUUAAACAACAAACACAUUGAUAUUAAAUAACAGUAUCAAAACCUUGUAUCAUUUAUGAAUUGAUUCAUUGAAUCUGAGACUACUAUAACACAGUAGUCUCAGAUUGAAUAUUUUCCUUUAACACUUAACAUAUUGUAUAUCCCCCACAGUGUUCCUCUUCAGUUGGUAAACUAACAAUAAUUCACUAAACCAUGGCAAAAAUUUGAACUACCAACUUUUCAAUGUUGUUAGUCUUUGUAUGAUUUUUAAUUUUAGUUCGCCACAGCAUUUUACUUUCAAAUAUUGGAUUUAAUUACUAAUAUAAAAUGUCUACCUGUUGAAUCUAUAAUACAUGUAGUCUUUUUAUAUCUAUUGACUGGCUCUAGUUAUGUACAAUAAAAGGCUUAAGGAAAAUCUGAAUUAUUCAAAUGCAAUUAUUCAGAUGUAGGUUCACCUUUACAAAUGUAAAUACCUUGCAGAUUUUCACCUCUAUGCAGCAUGAUUGCUAUUAAUGUGCAUGUGAGUGAAAGAAAUAAACAUUUGACAUAUAUAUAUUGAAAGAAAUAAUAAUAUGGAAGCAAAAUUUGCAUGAUAAAGCAUGGUAUUCUUUUCAACAGAAAUUUUUAGGGAAAAAUAUUUGUUAAUUUUAAAUAUUAAGUGAACAAGAGUGCACACGCUGAAAUGUCUCGCCUUCUAUACUAAUCAUUGAUAUUAUGUUGAUAGUCCUAAGUAUAAAGCUAAGCUUUAUUACAACUGUCACAUAAACUUAACAUUAACCAAGAUAACUAAACAAAGACCAAUGAACCUUGAAAAUGAGGUCAAGGCAGACAUGUACAGCUAACAAUGCUUCUAUACACCAUAUAUAUAGUUGACCUAUUACUUAUAAUUUAAGAAAAAUAGACCAAAACACAAAAACUUAACACUGUGCAAUGAACCGUGAAAAUGAGGUCACGGUCAAAUAAAACCUGUGCAACUGACAUAAAGAUCAUAAAAUAUUUCCAUACACCAAAUAUAGUUGACCUAUGCAUAUAAGUAUUAGAUAAAAAGACCAAAACUCAAAAACUUAACUUUGACCACUGAAAACAUGAAAAUGAGGUCAAGGUCACAUGAUAUCUCCCGCUAGACAUGUACACCUUAAAUCCAUUCCAACAAUAAUAUAUAUAUAGACCUAUUGCAUACAGUAUGAGAAAAACAGACCAAAACAACAAAAAUUAACUAUAACCACUGAACCAUGAAAAUGAGGUCAAGUCAGAUGACACCUGCCAGUUGGACAUGUACACCUUACAGUCCUUCCAUACACCGAAUAUACUAGCCCUAUUGCUUAUAGUAUCUGAGAUAUGGACUUGACCACCAAAACUUAACCUUGUUCACUGAUCCAUGAAAUGAGGUCGAGGUCAAAUGAAAACUGUCUGACGGGCAUGAGGACCUUGCAAGGUACGCACAUAUCAAAUAUAGUUAUCCUAUUACUUAUAAUAAGAGAGAAUUCAAAAUUACAAAAAAUCUGAACCUUUUUUUCAAGUGGUCAAUGAACCAUGAAAAUGAGGUCAAGGAUAUUGGACAUGUGACUGACGGAAACUUCGUAACAUGAGGCAUCUAUAUACAAAGUAUGAAGCAUCCAGGUCUUCCACCUUCUAAAAUAUAAAGCUUUAAUAUAAAGCCGCCGGAUCACUAUCCCUAUGUCGAGCUUUCUGCAACAAAAGUUGCAGGCCGGCUCAACAAAAACUAACAACUUUUUUUUAUUCUUUUUCAGAAUAAAUUUACCAUGUCUAUGGGAUCAGUGAUGUUGAUUGGAUGUAUAUCAUAUAUUGUUUACAUGAAUGUGACGGACAGUAAUAGGAAGAAAAGUUACGUGGCUGUAAACCCUGAUGGUACUUUAGAAAGUCGUGUACGGACUUCAAAAUGGGAUUGACUGUUAAACAGAAAUCAACAUUUACAUUUUAUAGGGGCUUUUAAGAGUUUAUUGUUUGUUAAUAAAAUUUUACCUUUUUAAAA